GACGAACGCUGGCGGCGUGCUUAACACAUGCAAGUCGAACGGAAAGGCCCUGCUUUUGUGGGGUGCUCGAGUGGCGAACGGGUGAGUAACACGUGAGUAACCUGCCCUUGACUUUGGGAUAACUUCAGGAAACUGGGGCUAAUACCGGAUAGGAGCUCCUGCUGCAUGGUGGGGGUUGGAAAGUUUCGGCGGUUGGGGAUGGACUCGCGGCUUAUCAGCUUGUUGGUGGGGUAGUGGCUUACCAAGGCUUUGACGGGUAGCCGGCCUGAGAGGGGGACCGGGCACAUGGGGACUGCGAUAGGGCCCAGACGCCUACGGGAGGCAGCAGGGGGGAACAUUGCACAAUGGGCGGAAGCCUGAUGCAGCGACGCCGGGUGCGGGAUGACGGCCUUCGGGUUGUAAACCGCUUUCGCCUGUGACGAAGCGUGAGUGACGGUAAUGGGUAAAGAAGCACCGGCUAACUACGUG
rnacentral:rRNA from 1 species